rnacentral:rRNA from 1 species
CUACGUGCCAGCAGCCGCGGUAAUACGUAGGGUGCGAGCGUUAAUCGGAAUUACUGGGCGUAAAGCGAGCGCAGACGGUUACUUAAGCAGGAUGUGAAAUCCCCGGGCUCAACCUGGGAAUUGCGUUCUGAACUGGGUAGCUAGAGUGUGUCAGAGGGGGGUAGAAUUCCACGUGUAGCAGUGAAAUGCGUAGAGAUGUGGAGGAAUACCGAUGGCGAAGGCAGCCCCCUGGGAUAGCACUGACGUUCAUGCCCGAAAGCGUGGGUAGCAAACAGGAUUAGAUACCCUGGUAGUCCACGCCCUAAACGAUGUCGAUUAGCUGUUGGGCAACUUGAUUGCUUGGUAGCGAAGCUAACGCGUGAAAUCGACCGCCUGGGGAGUACGGUCGCAAGAUUAAAACUCAAAGGAAUUGACGGGGACCCGCACAAGCGGUGGAUGGUGUGGAUUAAUUCGAUGCAACGCGAAGAACCUUACCUGGUCUUGACAU